rnacentral:rRNA from 1 species
UCUAGUGGCGGACGGGUGAGUAACGCGUGGGUAACCUGCCCUUAAGAGGGGAAUAACAUUGAGAAAUCAGUGCUAAUACACCAUAUGCUUACAAGAUCGCAUGAUCUAGUGAGGAAAAGAAUUUCGCUUAAGGAUGGACCCGCGUUUGAUUAGCCAGUUGGCAGGGUAACGGCCUACCAAAGCAACGAUCAAUAGCCGGCCUGAGAGGGUGAACGGCCACAUUGGAACUGAGACACGGUCCAAACUCCUACGGGAGGCAGCAGUGGGGAGUAUCGCACAAUGGGCGAAAGCCUGAUGCAGCAACGCCGCGUGAGUGAAGAAGUUAGUUUCGGUAUGUAAAGCUCUAUCGAUGGGGAAUAAAAUGAAGGUACCCAAGUAAGAAGCCCCGGCUAACUACGUGCCAGCCGCUGC